AGAGGGAGAGCCUGCAGGAAGAUGGGCAGGGGCUGGGAGCACUUUCAUCCUGCUGAGGCUGUGUGUGUGUGAGCAUCCCGAGCAUCCCGGGGGGAUCCCUCUCCGGGAAGCGCCGCGGAGCCGCCGGCGGUGUGUGCUGCCGAUAAGGAGAUGAAACAAUGGCUGCGACAGCAGGAACCUUCACAGAACGCCUCGACCAGCCGGUGCUUUGUGAGUUUUGAUGACCUUCCCUCUUUCCUUGCUCAAAGGAAACCUGGUUGGACAUCUGGGGAAGAUGAUACAAAGCCAACAAGAUCUCCUGUUGCUCCUCUCUAGUUUCCACUCAUCCCAGGCACCAGAAACUUGUGUGGCUGCAUCUCAAACAAACCAGAGCCUUUCACUAGCCACCUGGUAAGUCAACACUCCAAAAAUAAAAAAUAAAUAGAAAGGUUUACUGCUGAAGGAUUGAAGCUUUCCACACUUGAAAACUGAAUGCCUUGGGACUGUGGACUAAGGCGGAUAUUUUUAGUGCCAUCAAUAUCUCUUGGAGUUGAUAUCUCCCAAGACAGAUGGUUGUUUCCCACUGAACGUUGUCAAAUGUUUGCUCAGCCAAGAUCAAUUUUGUUCCAAGUCCUUUCCCACCUUCUGCUGAAAUACAUUUCACUUGCCAGACAAAAAAUUACAGAAACAGCAUGAAGCCCUGCCACUGUAGAAGGUUCUGGUCCCCGUGGCUCUCCUGGGUCCUUUUGCAGUGUGACUGACAUCCCUCUCAGUGCUGAGGAAGAAUAAAAGAUGCACUCGUGGUGUGAGCACAUCAGGGCUCAGGUCCCAUGUCACUGCUGAUUUCCUGUGCCACCUGCACAUCACUUCUCAGCCUGUCAAAGAGCCUUGCUGCCACGCUCUGCUCCUGAUCCCCUGCAUCCUGAGCUCUUACCCUCCACACCCCAUAUUGA